UUUACUUUGUUAUACUCGUCAUAUAUCUCGUCUAUCGAGAAGAAAAAUAGUUUCUUUCUUUCUUUCUUUCUUUUUCUUUUUUUGAUAAAUAGAAUAAUGCCGAUAUAAUCCGACCAAACGAUAUAUUACGAAUUUUAUUGCGUUCUUCGUCAAAAUGAUUCUCUAACGACGCAAUCAUAUCGCCCGCCUUUUUUUCUUCCGUCAUAUUGUUUUCUCGUCGUUCUUUUCUUUCUCGUACACGUAUAUGCGUAUGUAUAAUAUAUGUUUUUCUAUAUUUCUAAGUCCUACGACGAUUUAUUUAGGUUAAACUUUUUCUUUUGAUUUCAAACAGCUUUUUUCUUACCACGAGGGUAAUAUUUACGUUUAGAUUUUAAGAUGCUUUUUUUUCCCGAUAUAAACGAACGUUACAGGACACGUAAUCGUCUUUAUAACUUUUUUUUUCUCUUAUAGGUUAUAUCAAUAAUUUAAUUAGUUUCUUUGUAAGCUGUAUUCGUUAUGACUAAGCUUUAUUUAUCUUUAAUCCGAACAUAACGUCUUACAUAUGUAUAUGAUAAUAAAUUGAAUAGGAUUAGUAAGUAUAUUAAUCGAACGUCGUUAAUUUUAUAACGAUGUUUUUGAUUGGUCGUCGCGUAAAGGUAUCUAAUGAAAAUAUCCAAUCGUAGAACUGGUUCAUUAUCUCAAACGAGUAGUACACAGAUACUUUUAACUUCGUCUAGUUAACUGGAUCAUCGAUUUAAAUAAUACAUGUUAUCGAUAUUUAAUUGUUUAUUUUCCUAUUUGCAUAGCUUUCACGUAACGUAUAUGCAUAUGUACAUAUAUACAUUUUACUAUAUGUAUAUAUAUAUACAUACGUACGUAUGUACGUACGUAUGUAUGUAUAUAGGUAUAGUAAAUUUGUACACAUAUGGUGUAUAUAAACGUAAUACAUAAUUUGUAAACAACGUUAAAUAGAUAGAAACUAUCCUUUGAUAUUUUCCCUUGGUGAAAGGAUAGUACGUACAAAUCGAUAGAAUCACUCUGAUCAAUUACACAUUGAAUUUUCUUUUGCUCAUAAUUUGUUCGUAAUUAACAAAUAUAUUCGUAAUUAUAUCUAUUUGCAAUGGACAUUAGAUAUUUAAAAUUAUUGAGAAAAUAUUUACACACACAGACGCACACUGUGUGAGGUUUAUAUUUGAAAGAAAUUUGAUAUAAAGUUUUCUUAUUUACAUAACCUUAUCUUCUUUUUUCUUUUUUAUCAGCAUAAUAUCACAAAGAAAUAACUAUAACAAUACGAAAUCGUUUUAAUAAUAAUUAAUAAUUAAUUUAUUACGAUAUAGGAAACUGCACUAUAACUAUAUAAAAAUACGUGAAACUAUACUAUUAUUUCCACUUAGAAAUACAAAGAAAUUCGUAAACCUACAUGCAUAUAUUUUUCUAAUAUAUUAACUAUUAUUAAUUAAAGAAGUAAAAUACAAUUCUUUACAUAAUGAAUAAUAUAAUUCUCCGUAAUAUAAAAUAACUAUUAUAAUCGUUAGUAAAAAUCGUACUGUAACAUACGUCUAUGAAUAUUAUCUGCGAUACUUUUUAAAUAAAAAUAAUAAUAUUCUUUAGUUUUUAAUUUUUAUAUAAUAUUAGUUAUAAUAAUAUUCGUUAUCAUACAUACAUACAUACAUACAUAUCUAUAUGUAAUAUAUAACAAAUAGCGUGAUAGGUGUUAACUCUAGUUACAACGUCUUUCAAAUCAAUAUUCAUUCUGAUAGAAUUCUACGAUUGUGCGUCGUUGAUCGUUCUCUUUCGAAAAUAUAUACAUACGUACCUACGCACAUAUAUGCUACAUGCAUAUAUAUAUAUAUAUAUACAUAUAUUUCAUCUAUACAUACAUGCAUACGUAUGUACGUCGCAUUACGGCUGGCCAACUCGAACUUUCGACGAUUGUUCCGAAAAGCUCGAAUUGUCAUUGUCAGAGGGAAAGCUUCGAUCUCUGCCGAAUUGAAAGUUCGAAACAAACUGACAAGGAACCCGAUCAACCAACUAACCAACCAGUCAACCAACCAACCGACCAACCAACCAACCAACCAACCAACCAACCAUUGGUUAGAUGAAAUCGCCGGAAGAUAUUUCACACACACAGACACGCACACGCUGCUACAAAAUGAAUUAUUUUUUAUUUAUUAUUUUCUUUUCGUUUCUUUCUAAAAAAGAAAAAGAAAGAAAAGAAAAGAAAAGAAAAAAAAAAGAAAAAGAGCAUUUGUUUGAAGUCUUAAGCGAAGUAAGAGAAUUGACGUAAUAAUGUCUGCUGUAGUAAGUACUUAUAUAUCGAUUGUUCGGUCCUGUAAUAGAAAAGAAUCAGUUAUCUAUUCGUGGAAUAAACAUUAUCGUGACCCACUGCGACGUUUUCAUUGUCUAUACGUGGAUUUUUCUUUUUC